GAUGAACGCUGGCGGCGUGCUUAACACAUGCAAGUCGAACGGAAGGGCCCUGCUUUCGUGGGGUGCUCGAUUGGCGAACGGGUGAGUAACACGUGAGUAACCUGCCCUUGACUUUGGGAUAACUUCAGGAAACUGGGGCUAAUACAGGAUAGGAGCUCCUGCUGCAUGGUGGGGGUUGGAAAGUUUCGGCGGUCGGGGAUGGACUCGCGGCUUAUCAGCUUGUUGGUGGGGUAGUGGCAUACCAAGGCUUUGACGGGUAGCCGGCCUGAGAGGGUGAACGGACUCAAUACGACUGAGGUACGGACCAGACUCCUACAGGAGGCAGCGGUUGCAACUAUUGCACAAUGAGCCCAAGCCUGACGCAACAACGCCGCGUGCGGAAAGACCGCCUGCGGGUUGUAAAACGCUUUCGACUAUGACGAAGCGGGAGUGACGGUAAUGGAUAAAGAAGCACCGGCUAACUACGUG
rnacentral:rRNA from 1 species